AUCNNNNAGAUAGCCAGCAUGGUCUAGUUCAUGCCGUAUUAAGGCGAAACCGCGAAUGGCUCAUUAAAUCAGUUAUGGUUCCUUGGAUCGUACUUUACUACUUGGAUAACUGUGGCAAUUCUAGAGCUAAUACAUGCAGCAGAGCUCCGACCUCUCGUAGGGACGAGCGCUUUUAUUAGACCAAAACCGAUCGGUUCGCUUCGGCGUGCCGUUCAAGUGGUGACUCUGUAUAACUUUGGGCUGAUCGCACGGGCUCGUCCCGGCGACGUAUCUUUCAAGUGUCUGCCUUAUCAACUGUCGAUGGUAGGUUACGCGCCUACCAUGGUCGUAACGGGUAACGGGGGAUCAGGGUUCGAUUCCGGAGAGGGAGCCUGAGAAACGGCUACCACAUCCAAGGAAGGCAGCAGGCGCGCAAAUUACCCACUCCCGGCACGGGGAGGUAGUGACGAAAAAUAACAAUACGGGACUCUUUUGAGACCCCGUAAUUGGAAUGAGUACACUCUAAAUCCUUUAACGAUGAACUAUUGGAGGUAAAGUCUGGUGCCAGCAUCCGCGGUAACUCCAGCUCCAAUAGCGUAUAUUAAAGUUGUUGCGGUUAAAAAGCUCGUAGUUGGAUCUCAGUUUGCGGGUCGGCGGUCCGACGCGAGUCGGUCACUGCCGGCCCGCGACCGGCCGCCGGUUUCCGCGGAUGAUCUUCACCGGUUGUCCGUGGUGACCGGCAAGUUUACUUUGAAAAAAUUAGAGUGCUCAAAGCAGGCAGCCUCGCCUGAAUAAUGGUGCAUGGAAUAAUGGAAUAGGACCUCGGUUCUAUUUUGUUGGUUUUCGGAACACGAGGUAAUGAUUAAGAGGGACAGACGGGGGCAUUCGUAUUGCGACGCUAGAGGUGAAAUUCUUGGACCGCCGCACGACGANUAUGCAGANUUUUUUUUU
rnacentral:rRNA from 1 species